rfam:Capsicum annuum cultivar Zunla-1 chromosome 12, whole genome shotgun sequence
UCAUCAUGGUUUGGGCAUUUGGCCAACAUCCUAUGAAAUCUCUCCCAUACUUCAUGAAGUGGCUCCCCGUUCUUUUGUAAAAAAUUCAAAAUUUCAUCUCUUGAGUCA